rnacentral:rRNA from 1 species
AUGGAUAGAGAAGAUGAGACAGAGAUGAAGGAGGGAGCAGAGGCAGUAGUGCAAGUGAUGGCGCCACCAUCUCGGUUCAGGAGGAUAUGCGUCUUCUGCGGGAGCAGCAAGGGCAACAAGACGAGCUACCAGGACGCCGCCGUCGAGCUUGGCGAGGAGCUGGUAGCAAGAAACAUUGAUCUGGUGUACGGAGGAGGGAGCGUGGGGCUCAUGGGCCUGGUCUCUCAAGCGGUCUACAGCGGAGGCAGGCAUGUCAUCGGGGUGAUUCCCAAGACUCUCAUGCCUAGAGAGAUAACAGGUGAGACUGUGGGAGAGGUGAAGGAGGUGGCAGGUAUGCACCAAAGGAAGGCUGAGAUGGCCAGGCAAUCUGAUGCCUUUAUAGCGCUCCCUGGGGGCUACGGAACACUCGAGGAGCUUCUGGAAGUAAUCACAUGGGCCCAGCUUGGCAUCCACGACAAGCCGGUCGGGCUGCUGAACGUGGACGGCUACUACAACGCCCUGCUGUGUUUCAUCGACAAUGCCGUGGACGAAGGAUUCAUCAAGCCCACUGCCCGCCACAUCAUCGUUCUCGCUCCCACGCCCAAGGAACUGCUCGACAAGCUGGAGGUACCUUCAUUACCUCACCCAUCGCCUCGAGCUUUUUUCAUCAUCAUCACCAUGCAUCUGAAACUGAAAGGGACAAAUCUCCUUGCUGUUUGCUGUUGGCAGGAGUACUCUCCUCGGCACGAGGAGGUCGUGCCGAGGACGAAGUGGGAGACGACGGAGCAGCUGAGCUGCUGCAAGAUCCCUGCGCUGAAAGAGGGCACGGUGAUCGUCCCGGCGCAGCGAGGAAGCAUGCUGUGA